rnacentral:rRNA from 1 species
AGUGAACGCUGGCGGUAGGCCUAACACAUGCAAGUCGAACGGCAGCACAGUAAGAGCUUGCUCUUACGGGUGGCGAGUGGCGGACGGGUGAGGAAUACAUCGGAAUCUACUUUUUCGGGGGGGAUAACGUAGGGAAACUUACGCUGAUACCGCAUACGACCUACGGGUGAAAGCAGGGGAUCUUCGGACCUUGCGCGAUUGAAUGAGCCGAUGUCGGAUUAGCUAGUUGGCGGGGUAAAGGCCCACCAAGGCGACGAUCCGUAGCUGGUGUGAGAGGAUGGUAAGCCACACUGGAGCUGAGACACGGUCCAGACUCCUACGGGAGGCCGCAGUGGGGAAUAGUGGACAAUGGGCGCAAGCCUGAUCCAGCCAUACCGCGUGGGUGAAGAAGGCCUUCGGGUUGUAAAGCCCUUUUGUUGGGAAAGAAAAGCAGCAGGUUAAUACCCCGCUGUUCUGACGGUACCCAAAGAAUAAGCACCGGCUAACUUCGUG